GGUUGCGUAGCUCAACUGGAUAGAGCAUCUGACUACGAAUCAGAAGGUUUAAGGUUCGACUCCUUACGUGACCACCA
rnacentral:tRNA from 1 species